rnacentral:rRNA from 1 species
UACGAAUGGGGCUAGCGUUGCUCGGAAUUACUGGGCGUAAAGCGCACGUAGGCGGCUCUUUAAGUCGGGGGUGAAAUCCUGGAGCUCAACUCCAGAACUGCCUUCGAUACUGUAGAGCUUGAGUUCGGGAGAGGUGAGUGGAACUGCGAGUGUAGAGGUGAAAUUCGUAGAUAUUCGCAAGAACACCAGUGGCGAAGGCGGCUCACUGGCCCGAUACUGACGCUGAGGUGCGAAAGCGUGGGGAGCAAACAGG